ACGAACGCUGGCGGCGCGCCUAACACCUGCAAGUCGAACGAGCGAGAGAGAGCUUGCUUUCUUGAGCGAGUGGCGAACGGGUGAGUAACGCGUGAGGAACCUGCCUCAAAGAGGGGGACAACAGUUGGAAACGACUGCUAAUACCGCAUAAGCCCACGGUGCCGCAUGGCACAGAGGGAAAAGGAGCAAUCCGCUUUGAGAUGGCCUCGCGUCCGAUUAGCUAGUUGGUGAGGUAACGGCCCACCAAGGCGACGAUCGGUAGCCGGACUGAGAGGUUGAACGGCCACAUUGGGACUGAGACACGGCCCAGACUCCUACGGGAGGCAGCAGUGGGGAAUAUUGCACAAUGGGGGAAACCCUGAUGCAGCGACGCCGCGUGGAGGAAGAAGGUCUUCGGAUUGUAAACUCCUGUUGUUGGGGAAGAUAAUGACGGUACCCAACAAGGAAGUGACGGCUAACUACGUG
rnacentral:rRNA from 1 species